rnacentral:rRNA from 1 species
AGAAUCAACGCUGGCGGCGUGCCUAACACAUGCAAGUCGCACGAGAAAGCGGACUUCGGUCUGUGAGUAAAGUGGCGCACGGGUGAGUAACACGUGAAUAAUCUACCUUCGAGUGGGGAAUAAACUGAGAGAAAUCUUAGCUAAUACCGCAUAACACUUACGAGUCAAAGCAGCAAUGCGCUUGAAGAGGAGUUCGCGGCAGAUUAGUUAGUUGGCGGGGUAAUGGCCCACCAAGACGAUGAUCUGUAUCCGGCCUGAGAGGGCGCACGGACACACUGGAACUGAAACACGGUCCAGACUCCUACGGGAGGCAGCAGUGGGGAAUUUUGCGCAAUGGGGGAACCCUGACGCAGCAACGCCGCGUGGAGGAUGAAAUCCCUUGGGAUGUAAACUCCUUUCGAUCGGGAAGAUAAUGACGGUACCGAGAGAAGAAGCCCCGGCUAACUUCGCGCCAGCAGCCGC